CUACCAGCAUUGGAUUCUCGUUGUCGUUGCUCGUUUGACCGCUUUCUUCUUCACGAACUCAGUAGUGGAGUUUGACUCCUUGCCUUAGAUCCGCUUUUCCCGGAACUUGGUGAGGACCUACAAUGGCGGAUGGUAGCGAGGAAGAAAGCGAUUGGGGCGAGCUUGGCACUACCAGCUCGAGCGAUGGUGCAGAGCGAGCUAGUGGUUUCAUUUCGGUGAAGAGGCGGCCGUUCUGAACUGCUACCCAUUGGUGCUGCAAUCGCACAUCAACCACCAGAUGUGUAAUCGAACGUUUGUGUUUCAUUCGCAUCCAAGUUGGAGAAUAAAAACUUUCAGGCUAAUCUGUGCUGCAUCCACCGCGUUAUUGUGACAUGUUUUUGCUGUUUUCAUUUGGUAUUUUUUUCACGAGCAAAUCAGGUCGAGGGUUGGCAUUCCAGGAAAUGGUAAUGAGAACCACCAAUGGAGUUUUGAACUAUCCUGCUGCUAAAAUGGAUGGUAAAACUGUUUCUGGGCAUGUGCAACAUGAACAUAGCUGGGAUGAUGCAGUAGUUGAUCAGAAUACUAAAAAUUCACCAACGGACCAUAACAGAGAUGUGCACGGUGCUUCUUCCUAUUUUUGCGAACAGGGUUACCCAAAUUCAGUAUAAAUUGCUGCAACAGAAAUGGAUCAUGUUGAACCAGAUCCUUGUUUCAACUUGGCUGGCAAACAGGAUGGAUCAGUGCCAAUGUCGUCACAAAUUGAACAUGAAUGGAAUCCUUCAGGCAACAUCACAGUGUUUGAUUCUGAAGUUUUAACUCAACCAAGGCCUAAUGGGGCCGGAGAGGGAGGAAUAAAUUCAGUCCCAAUUCAAUCAAGAAAGGGCAGCCAGGUUGAACAAGAGCCGUGUGACACAUUGUAUGGAAGAAUGGAUGGAUCAGACCCAAUUUCAUCAAAAAUUCAUCCGGAAGGGAAUGCGUCUGGGAACAUCACCAUUAUUAGUGAUCAAGUUUUAGCUCAGCCAUGGCCUAAGGGGUAUGGUCCAUCUAUCUACUUUGCUUUGUCCAUAAUUAGUUGAAUGCACAAAUUCUUCUGGGAGCAAAGUAAAAAUAACAUUGGCGAAAAAUAAAAGUAAAAGGAUCCCUAAAGAUGCACCUGAAGGGUCCGCACCAAGUUUAAUUGGUGCAAUUGAGAGAGCGCUCCGGAAUAAGUGUCAGUGAUAAUUGAGAGAGUGCACCUGAAGGGAGAAACUGAAGCAGUCAGGGAGGAAGGUUGGCAAGAAGAAAAAGAAAAAAUAAUAAGUGUUGUGGCAUAUGCGGGUUUGAUUACCAUAAGGCGUCGGAAUGUCUAACCAAGAGCAUUGAUAAUAUUGACUGAAGGUAGAACUGAUUUUCUGGUGUUCCUAGAUCGCAAGCUUGAACGUAAAUGUUUUCCGGUUUGCAGGUCAUGUUACAUUUGUAACGCACAUGAGACAUUUUCAUUUGUUGGAGUACUGGAAUGGUGACUCUUGUAAUUGACUCAGGAAUGCAUUAUUUUAUCUAUUUUUGUUGGUACUGAAUUAAUUGUUCAGACCAUCUAAGAUGGUUAUGUAUUAACCGAUUGGAAUUAAAAUGACCUGGAUGUGGAUCUUAGGAAAUUGUUUUCCUACAAAA